CAGAACUUCUAGUGGACAGCACCGCUGUAGAAGAUCUUUGAAGUCAUUGCUCCAGCUCAGCAUCUGGGUACCCAGCCUCACCCCUUUCUCCAGCGGGAAGCUCUUCACUGCUUCUCCAAGGAACACUGUGAGGCCUGCCCUUCCUGCUCCUCAAAGCCCAAGUUUCUCGCAGGAAAAUGCAGUUUGCACGGCUCCACAGCUGGGAAAGGGUAAAGGCAUUUUACUGAAUCAGAGCAAAUAUUCAUCUUAAAAAGUGGGUGAAAGAAGCUUCAACUUUCAACUGUCAGCGAGUGCUCACCCUCUAUCCGCAUCUGGCCUUCAGGAUCCUGUAACAUCUGUAUUGAC
ensembl:lncRNA